rnacentral:tmRNA from 1 species
UAGCUUUUCUUUCCCGCCCCACUCCCUAUAUUAGGAGUGCUGGUUUACCAGCUAUGACGAUAAACGCGCGUAUAAUAAGCAGGCUGGACCCGGGGGCGGUACCCGGCGGCUCCACCAUAACUUUCCUUUCGGGGAUAGUUUUGACGGGGCCGAAAUAGAAUCGACAGAUGUCUAAACCCGUUAGCUUUCGUCCGUAUGGGUACCGUUAAAUGCCCACUUACAGUAGUUGCAAAUGACAACAAUACUGAAGAGUUCGCUCUCGCUGCGUAAGCAGUGCGAGUUAAUUCGCUUUUAACUCCUAACCCUUCAGACGGUUAGGCGGGCUCCGGGGGUAGCUGGCAACAGAAACCCCCACU